CUCUAGUUUGGACUAGAUGCUCUAAGAGGCUGCUGGAAUCUUCCCUCAUUUCAUUAUCCCGUUAUGAUGGAGCAGGAUCCAGAGAGCACCCAAUUUACCCAGACCCAGCGAGAUUAUCUCCUGCUGCAUACUACGCCCAGAGGAUGAUCCAGUAUCUCUCACGGAGAGACAGUAUUCGCCAGCGCUCCAUGCGCUACCAACAGAACCGUCUCCGUUCUUCCACCUCCUCCUCUUCCUCAGACAACCAGGGUCCAUCAGUAGAGGGAACCGACUUGGAAUUUGAGGACUUUGAAUGAAUGACCAUCUUCCUGGGCAGGCUUCCUCUCCUGCCAUUCAUCUCUGUCUACAGCAAGGAUUGAGACUGCAGGGUCCUUGUGUUUAUCAAACUGCACAAACAGGACAUCCAGAAACCUGCUGUCAGCAGGUCUCUCCUGAAGCUCUCAGCAGCUGCCUUUGCAUAAAGAUGUUCAUAAGCAGGGUAAA
rnacentral:sRNA from 1 species